ACCUCCCCUCCACACACCCGUCCGGCUUACAGUUUCAUUCCGUGACUAGCCCUCCCCCACCUGCCCAGCAAUUUACUCUUAAAAAGGUGGCUGGAGCUAAAGGCAUAGUCAAGGUUAAUGCUCCUUUUUCUUUAUCCCAAAUCAGAUAGCGUUUAGGCUCUUUUUCAUCAAAUAUAAAAAACCCAGCCCAGUUCAUGGCUCGUUCGGCAGCAACCCUGAGAUGCUUUACAGCCCUAGACCUAAAAGGUCAAAAGGCUGUAUUAUUCUCAAUAUACAUUUUAUUACUCAAUCUGCUCCCGACAUUAAAUAAAACUCCAAAAAUUAAAUUCCAGCCCUCAAACCCCACAACAGGAUUUAAUUAACCUCACCUUCAAGGUGUACAAUAAUAGAAAAAAGUCGCAAUUCCUUGCCUUUACUGUGAGACAAACCCCAGCCACAUCUCCAGCCCACAAGAACUUCCAAACGCCUAAACCGCAGUGGCCAGGCGUUCCUCCAGAACCUCCUCCCCCAGGAACUUGCUACAAGUGCCAGAAAUCUGACCACCAGGCCGAGGAAUGCCUGCAGCCCAGGAUUCCUCCUAAGCCGUGUCCCAUCUGCGCGGGACCCCACUGGAAAUCGGACUGUUCAACUCACCUGGCAGCCACUCCCAGAACCCCUGGAAUUCUGGCCCAAGGCUCUCUGACUGACUCCUUCUCGGCUUAGCAGCUGAAGACUGAUGCUGCCUGAUCGCCUUGGAAGCCCCGUAGACCAUCGCGGAUGCCGAGCUUUAAGUAAUCUCACAGUGGAGGGAUAUGGUGGUAUGGACCUGUUGCCCCAGCUACUCAGGAGGCCGAGAUGAAACAAUCACCUGACCCCAGGAAGUCGGGGCUGCAGUGAACUAGGAUCAUGCCACUGCACUCUAGCCUGGGCAACAAGGUGAGACACCAUCUCUAAAAAUAAUAAUAAAAAAAUAAAGUCUGGUCAGGUGCUGUGGCUCACGCCUAUAAUCCCAGCACUUUGGGAGGCCGAGACAGGUGGAUCACGUGAGGCCAGGAGUUUGAGACCAACCUAGCCAACACGGGGAAACCCUGCCUCUACCAAAAAAUACAAAAAAAUUAGCCUGGUGUGGUGGUGUGCAUCUGUAGUCCCAGCUACUCGGGAGGCUGAGGCGGAAGAAUUGCUUGAACUGGGAGGUGGAGGUUGCAGUGAGCCGAGAUCACACCACUGCACUCUAGCCUGGACGACAGAGUGAGAUCCUGUCUCAAAAAUAAAGUCGGGGGGCUGGGUUCAGUGGUUCAUACCUGUAAUCCCAGCAUUUUGGGAGGCUGAGGUGGGCAGAUCACUUGAGGUCAGGAGUUUGAGAGAGACUGGCCAACAACAGUGAAACCCCAUCUCUACUAAAAAAGUACAAAAGGCCGGGUGCCAUGGCUCACGCCUGUAAUCCCAGCACUUUGGGAGGCUGAGGCAGGUGGAUCACGAGGUCAGGAGUUCAAGACCAGCCUGACCAACAUGGAGAAACCCCGUCUCUACUAAAAAUACAAAAUUAGCCGGGUAUGGUGGCACAUGCCUGUAAUCCCAGCUACUCGGGAGGCUGAGGCAGGAGGAUCGCUUGAACCAAGGAGGCGGAGGUUGCAAUGAGCCAAGAUAGUGCCAUUACACUACCAGCUUGGGCAACAAGAGUGAAACUCCGUCUCAAAAAAAAAAAAGUACAAAAAUUAGCCAGGCUUGGUGGUGUGCCCCUGCAGUCCCAGCUACUCGGGAGGCUGAGAGGUGAGAAUCUCUUGAACCCAGGAGGCAGUGCUGCCAUUGCACUCCAGCCUGAGCGACAUAGCAAGACUCUGUCUCCAAAAAAUCAAUAAAUAAUAAAAAAUAAAGUCCAGGUGGGGCACGGUGGUUCAUGCCUGUUAUCCCAUCACUUUGGGAGGCCGAGGUGGGCGGAUCACCUGAGGUCAGGAGUUCAAGACCAGCCUGACCAACAUGGAGAAACCUCAUCU
rnacentral:lncRNA from 1 species